rnacentral:tRNA from 13 species
GGCGCCGUGGCUUAGUUGGUUAAAGCUCCUGUAUAGUAAACAGGAGAUCACGGGUUCGAAUCUCGUCAAUGCCU